AUCCUCCUCGACACUUCUAACGUGAUAAUGCGUGGUCAAAUAAGGGUUAUAGGCCUGAUAAGCCUUCACCCACUCAGCCACGACAUCUUUAUCUUUCUUAUCGUCUUCUGGCUUCUUCUGGCUCUUCUUUCUUCUUUUCAGGCUCUUUCGCUGGUCCUACUGAGAUUAUGUCUGUGUGGCAAAUCUUUCUCAGUUUGGCCACUAUGUUCACUGCAUCGAUGUUCCCAACCACUGUCAGCUUCAUGUCCUUCAUGUCCAUGGAUAUUGAAUCCACCCCUGCAAAUUUCCAUCCCAAAACGCUUAAUUUACAAAAAAAAAAAAAUCACAGACGCUUCAAUAAUAUUAUUGAUUUAUAAUUCAAUGAUCAUAAAAUAAAAUCAAUACCUGGAAGACCAGAGACUCUCCGCAUAGCCUUUUUCUUGUCCUUGUCAUCGUGUAAAUCCAAUUUCAACACGGCUUUCUGCAACAUAUUACAAGUUCAUGUAAAUUCUCUUGUAUAAUCAAGAAACUAGAAGAAAAGAAAGCUUGACCCAUUCUUUCAUGCACGGCAUGCAUCUUAAUCUCAUAGCUGGGCACUAACAGAGAAUAUAGAGAGAGAAUUGAUCCUCACCAUCAUUUUUAUAGCUCUGAGAUGGAUCUGAUCAGAGAAGAUUGAAGAUGAAAGACAGCAACUAAAGAAAGUUUGAGGUGAAGAACUCAGACAGGAGGAGGUAAAGAUUAUAGACUUGUUGAGUUGAAGAGGCAUUGGCCGAGAUUUUAUAGUGAAGGGAAGAAAACUGUAGUGGCAACCUCACACGUCAGGACCAGAAGUCUAUGGUCAAUGGUCAAUGAACACACUGUUUGACCGGAAGGGGAAAGCUCCUUGGUGUUUCCAGUACUGCUGAAAAUUUCUUCGCUUUCAGUAGGUGUUUCUUGAAGUGAACUUAUUUUAUUUCUUUAUUAUUAAUUAACGACAAGCAGCUAAAAGGCAACACUUUUUUUAAUGUGUCUUUAUCUUUUUAUUUUUUACUUUAUGCUAUUCACGAAGCUCCAAUUGAUGUAUAAAAUUAUAUUUUUUUACUUCUAAUUUUAUUUGCAUUAAUAUUGUUUGUAGUACAAAGCAUGACAUUAAUAAAAUCAUCAAUUGUUUUAAAAUAAUAUUGCAGGUGUAUAUCCUCUUCAAAAAAAUCUUAAUACAUCAAAAAAUAAUUAUCUAUUACUUUUAAGACCUCUAUAAAAUAAUAAUGACAAUAUUUAUUAAUAAUAUAACUAUCAAUUUAAAAUUCAACUUCUUAUUAAAAAUAAAUUUAUAAUUCAAUAAAUAACCAUCAUCUCUAUACAGAUUCAAUUUUACAUCAAAAUAUGAACUAAAUAAUAAAAUUAGCUACAAAUAAUUGGUACCCAGCUAAUUAUUCAUUACUUGUUCAAUUUAAAUUUAUUCAACUUAAAUUAAUGUCUUUUAAUUAUUAUCAAUUUCAUAAAAAAAAUAUUUUUUAAAAAUUUCAUUAAAUUUCCAACUUGACAAUAAAAUUAACAAAAUAUAAUUAGUAUUCAUUAAACAACUUAUCAUUUUUUCAAUUAUAACAUAUCUAAGCUAGAAAGUAAAACUUAAUUUUAUCAAAUGACAAAUAAAAUUAAUUCCCUCUAAAUCUCAAACAAACAUUAACAUAUAAAUUAUAUAUUAAUACAACAAAAUUCUCUAAAAAAAAGUUGCAAGACACUUAAAUAUUCAAGCAAACUAUAAAUAUUACACAAAAAUUUUAAUAAAUUAGCCUAAAACAUGAAUAAGUUAAAAAAAAUAAAUUUACCUACUUAAUAUAUAAUAUGAAGCUUCACAAGAAAUUGAAAAUAGAUUUAGGUCACUAGUGGUGAGGGUUUAGAAGAUGUUUCGAAGUGGUAAUAGUUAUUUUUUAAAGUGUUUUUUAUUUCAAAACAUAUUAAAAUAAUAUUUUUUAUUUUUAAAAAAUUAUUUUUGACAUUAAUAUAUCAAAAUGGUCUUAAAACAUCACAAACAUAUUAAUUUUAAAAAAAUUUGGAAAUGGUUUGUUUUGGAGGUGAAACCAUCAUUGAUAGGAGUCGCCUAACAGAAUUAGAGUUCUACAUCAGCUGUAAGUUUAUAGUUUAUAGGAGACUAGAGGUUUGCAAGAAUUAUGACCGUGUUAAAGUUAGAAUCAAUGUUAGAGUUUUAUUCUUAUUAGGAGAUAGUUAUUUGAUUAAUUUCUUCACGUUGUUAGAUAGUGUUGAGAAGUCUUUGCCUAGUAUGAUUUGUAAAGGCUAUUUAAAGCCAUCUUGAUUAUUUAGAAUACAUAGAAAACUUCAAGAGAUUUGUUCAAAAGUGGGAGAUCAUACUGGUGUAAACAUGAGUAGAAUAGGAACUUUGGAGAAGGAUUUGGUGGAAUUAGUGGGGAAAGUGGAAAGUCUGAUUGUUCUGUCACGAAGGGAGGUUGAUAGAAAGGCACAGAUGGCGCAAAAAAUUGAGAAUUUGAUGGAGGAGUUGACCCUUGAGAAGGAAAAGAACUUCAAGUUAAAGAUGGAAUUGGAGACUAUCAGAGAAGGAACUGUUGAGAAGGGUUUAGUGGAAUUAAAGGGGCAAGUGGAGAGUAUGUAUGUUCUGUUACGAAAGGAGGCUGAUGGAAAGGCACAGAUGGUGCAAAAAAUUGAGAAUCUGAUGGAGGAGAUGAUCCUUGAGAAGGAAAAGAACUUCAAGUUAAAGAUGAUAUUGGAGACUAUCAACUUCGUGUCUUCUGGUGCGUCUACCGCUGCUGCUUUCAAUUGAUUAAGUUUUUUUUUACAAUGAUAUUAAGUACGGAAUGUGUUGAAGAUGGAUAUUUGGCAUGUCUAGAUUCUUAUUUCUUGAGUUUUUAGGAAAAUAAAUAUUUUUCUUACUUGGUUUUAUUUUUCUUAAGUUUUCUUAUUUGAUGCUUCGGCUACUGAACUCCUUGCAUAGCAGUUCCUUUUACUUCCAGGCACCUUGCUCUUUGUUUUUCCAGAUGAAUUACAUUUUUGCUUAUCACUGUAAUCAUAGCAUCAAGUGUUUGAUGUAAUUGAAUUUUCAAUAAUUAAACACUUACAAAUAACUUUUUUUUUUGUGAUUACUUGUAUACUUCUCGUAAUUGAAAGUAAUGCGUGAUUCGCCAUGCAACUUGAGAAGAUAUCAUGAUCAUAAACUCCUCUGUCACACUUUGCAAAACACUAAUAUAAAAGAGUGAUAAAUACUGGCUGGAUUUACAAGGAUUGUGGCUGAAGUUAAUUACAACAAAACAAGGGAAGGGGCUGCUUUAUUUUUUUAUUUUUUUGGCAUGAAGAAAAAGAAGAAGAACGUGGGGUGAGAGAUAACGGUUGGGUUUUUUUUAUUUAUUUUAUGAACUAUCAGGUUUUAAUUUAUUUAAUUAUGUAAAUUGACUAUUUUGUCGGGAAAUGCUGAUGUGUCAAAUUUUUUACAUAAUCAAGUUGUUUUUAACAUUAAAACAGUGGAUUGGAAUGUGGUUUUUGAUUUGAUUCCUCAUCAUCUGUCUUACUGAAUAAAAAUUAGUGACCUGGAUUUUUCAUACACAGGAAUUGACCUGUGUAUCCUAUAAUUGGACUUAUUCAUUGUAUAGAUGGUGGUUGCUAUCCCCAGUUCAUGGCUGUAGCGGUGGAGGAGAUUCUUGAAAGGUAGCCAUGGAGAGAUGACAGAUUAGGAAAGGUCAAUAUUAUUGUUCUGUGAUGGGGGCCUUCAGACCAGUACUGGGGAUAUAUAUUGUGGCUAUCAUAGAAGUUAUUAUUGACUGGUUGUUUGUUGGAGUUUUUAAAGUUGAAAGGUUUGUCGAAACAAUAUUCCCUAGCUUUUUAUUGUCAUGGAUUGUAGGGUAUGGUUACAAAACCGAACCGGUUUAUGAAAUUAAUUUGGAAAUUGAUUGAUUUAGACUCUAUUUUAAAUCGAGUUUUAUAAUUAAUAAAAAAAAUUGAUACGGUAUGAUUAUUAAGAAUCUUAGUUGAGAAUUUAAUUAAUUUAGUUGAGAAUCCUUCUAACUCACAAUCUCUUGAAUAAAUCUCAUACAGGACAUAAUAAUUAUGACAUGGGAUGAAUAAUUUUGAUUAAUUUUUAAUAUAAUGUAUUUGGAUUUAAAUCUCAUAUCGGAUUUAAUAUAUAUAUAUAUAUAUAUAUAUAUAUAACAAACAAACAAACAUACUAAAUGAAGCUUGAUGAAACUGGGUAUUAUGCUUUAAUUAAGAAGUGAAUUUGUUUAAGCAUCUAAUCAAAAAAAUUAAGAAAUGACACAAUCAUUAGGAUCCUCUCGGCAUUUCUAACGUGAUAAUGCGUGGUCAAAUAAGGGUUAUAGGCCUGAUAAGCCUUAUAGCAUCUUUAUCUUUCUUAUCGUCUUCUGGCUUCUUCGGCUCUUCUUUCUUCUUUUCAGGCUCUUUUGCUGGUCCUACUGAGAUUAUGUCUGUGUGGCAAAUCUUUCUCAGUUUGGCCACUAUGUUCACUGCAUCGAUGUUCCCAACCACUGUCAGCUUCAUGUCCUUCAUGUCCAUGGAUAUUGAAUCCACCCCUGCAAAUUUCCAUC
rnacentral:lncRNA from 1 species